rnacentral:rRNA from 1 species
CGAACGGGUGAGUAACGCGUGAGGAACCUGCCUCAAAGAGGGGACAACAGUUGGAAACGACUGCUAAUACCGCAUAAGCCCACGGCUCGGCAUCGAGCAGAGGGAAAGGGAGCGAUCCGCUUUGAGAUGGCCUCGCGUCCGAUUAGCUAGUUGGUGAGGUAACGGCCCACCAAGGCGACGAUCGGUAGCCGGACUGAGAGGUUGAACGGCCACAUUGGGACUGAGACACGGCCCAG